rnacentral:tRNA from 1 species
GAGAGUGUAGCUCAGUGUAGAGUGUAUGCUUUGCAUGUACGAGGCCUUAGGUAUGAACCCAACACACUCA